rnacentral:rRNA from 1 species
AUUCCAGCUCCAAUAGCGUAUAUUAAAGUUGUUGCAGUUAAAAAGCUCGUAGUUGGACUUUAGGUCCGGCUGGGCGGUCCACCUCGCGGUGAGUACUGUCGGGCCGGGCCCUUCCUUCUGGUGAUCUGUCAUCUCGGUGGCAGGGAACCAGGACUUUUACUUUGAAAAAAUUAGAGUGUUCAAAGCAGGCUAGACGCCCGAAUAUAUUAGCAUGGAAUAAUGAAAUAGGACGUGCGGUUCUAUUUUGUUGGUUUUUGGAAUCGCCGUAAUGAUUAAUAGGGACAGUCGGGGGCAUUAGUACUCACAUGCUAGAGGUGAAAUUCUUGGAUUUUGUGAAGACUAACUUCUGCGAAAGCAUUUGCCAAGGAUGUUUUCAUUA